AGCUACAGGCUUAACACAUGCAAGUCGAGGGGCAUCAGGUAGAAAGCUUGCUUUCUUUGCUGGCGACCGGCGCACGGGUGAGUAACACGUAUCCAACCUGCCCUUUACUCGGGGAUAGCCUUUCGAAAGAAAGAUUAAUACCCGAUAGCAUAAUGAUUCCGCAUGGUUUCAUUAUUAAAGGAUUCCGGUAAAGGAUGGGGAUGCGUUCCAUUAGGUUGUUGGUGAGGUAACGGCCCACCAAGCCUUCGAUGGAUAGGGGUUCUGAGAGGAUGGUCCCCCACAUUGGAACUGAGACACGGUCCAAACUCCUACGGGAGGCAGCAGUGAGGAAUAUUGGUCAAUGGGCGCUAGCCUGAACCAGCCAAGUAGCGUGAAGGAUGAAGGCUCUAUGGGUCGUAAACUUCUUUUAUAUAAGAAUAAAGUGCAGUAUGUAUACUGUUUUGUAUGUAUUAUAUGAAUAAGGAUCGGCUAACUCCGUGCCAGCAGCCGCGGUAAUACGGAGGAUCCGAGCGUUAUCCGGAUUUAUUGGGUUUAAAGGGAGCGUAGGUGGACUGGUAAGUCAGUUGUGAAAGUUUGCGGCUCAACCGUAAAAUUGCAGUUGAUACUGUCAGUCUUGAGUACAGUAGAGGUGGGCGGAAUUCGUGGUGUAGCGGUGAAAUGCUUAGAUAUCACGAAGAACACCGAUUGCGAAGGCAGCUCACUGGACUGCAACUGACACUGAUGCUCGAAAGUGUGGGUAUCAAACAGGAUUAGAUACCCUGGUAGUCCACACAGUAAACGAUGAAUACUCGCUGUUUGCGAUAUACAGUAAGCGGCCAAGCGAAAGCAUUAAGUAUUCCACCUGGGGAGUACGCCGGCAACGGUGAAACUCAAAGGAAUUGACGGGGGCCCGCACAAGCGGAGGAACAUGUGGUUUAAUUCGAUGAUACGCGAGGAACCUUACCCGGGCUUAAAUUGCAGUGGAAUGAUGUGGAAACAUGUCAGUGAGCAAUCACCGCUGUGAAGGUGCUGCAUGGUUGUCGUCAGCUCGUGCCGUGAGGUGUCGGCUUAAGUGCCAUAACGAGCGCAACCCUUAUCUUUAGUUACUAACAGGUUAUGCUGAGGACUCUAGAGAGACUGCCGUCGUAAGAUGUGAGGAAGGUGGGGAUGACGUCAAAUCAGCACGGCCCUUACGUCCGGGGCUACACACGUGUUACAAUGGGGGGUACAGAAGGCAGCUAGCGGGUGACCGUAUGCUAAUCCCAAAAUCCUCUCUCAGUUCGGAUCGAAGUCUGCAACCCGACUUCGUGAAGCUGGAUUCGCUAGUAAUCGCGCAUCAGCCACGGCGCGGUGAAUACGUUCCCGGGCCUUGUACACACCGCCCGUCAAGCCAUGGGAGCCGGGGGUACCUGAAGUACGUAACCGCAAGGAUCGUCCUAGGGUAAAACUGGUGACUGG
rnacentral:rRNA from 1 species